rnacentral:rRNA from 1 species
AGUGAACGCUGGCGGCAGGCCUAACACAUGCAAGUCGAGCGGCAGCGCGGGGGCAACCCUGGCGGCGAGCGGCGGACGGGUGAGGAAUUCGUCGGAAUCUGCCUUUUUGUGGGGGAUAACGUAGGGAAACUUACGCUAAUACCGCAUACGUCCUACGGGGGAAAGUGGGGGACCGCAAGGCCUCACGCAGAAAGAUGAGCCGACGACCGAUUAGCUAGUUGGUGGGGUAAAGGCCCACCAAGGCGACGAUCGGUAGCUGGUCUGAGAGGAUGAUCAGCCACACUGGGACUGAGACACGGCCCAGACUCCUACGGGAGGCAGCAGUGGGGAAUAUUGGACAAAGGGCGCAAGCCUGAUCCAGCCAUGCCGCGUGUGUGAAGAAGGCCUUCGGGUUGUAAAGCACUUUUGUCCGGAAAGAAAUCCCUGGAGCUAAUACCUUCGGGGGAUGACGGUACCGGAAGAAUAAGCACCGGCUAACUUCGUG